GGGGUCGUAGUGUAGCGGUUAACAUGCUGGCCUGUCACGCCGGAGAUCGUGGGUUCGAAUCCCAUCGAUCCCGCCA
rnacentral:tRNA from 1 species